ACUCAAAUGAAUUGACGGGGGCCCGCACAAGCAGUGGAUUAUGUGGUUUAAUUCGAAGCAACGCGAAGAACCUUACCAAGUCUUGACAUGCUCUGCAUAGCCUGGAAACAGGUGAAACCCUUCGGGGCAGGGACACAGGUGGUGCAUGGUUGUCGUCAGCUCGUGUCGUGAGAUGUUGGGUUAAGUCCCGCAACGAGCGCAACCCCUACUAUUAGUUGCUACGGUAAGAGGACUCUAGUGGGACUGCCGUUGACAAAACGGAGGAAGGUGGGGAUGACGUCAAAUCAUCAUGCCCUUUAUGACUUGGGCUACACACGUAAUACAAUGGCGCUUAACAGAGGGAGGCAAGGCCGCGAGGAUAAGCAAAUCCCUAAAAAGCGUCUCAGUUCGGAUUGUAGGCUGCAACUCGCCUGCAUGAAGUCGGAAUUGCUAGUAAUCGCGGAUCAGCACGCCGCGGUGAAUACGUUCCCGGGCCUUGUACACACCGCCCGU
rnacentral:rRNA from 1 species